rnacentral:lncRNA from 10 species
UAGUAAUUAAGGCAGUAUCUUUUCCUCUAGGCAUUCAGGUAGUACAGGUUUGACAAGGAUGUGGAAAAUCACAGCCUAUAGGCCCAAUCCCACCAUGGGGCCUAGGGUGCCUGGCAGGAAAGAAGUGGAGGACAGCUGGGAAAGGAGUCUGACUUCUGGCCAAUUCCUUGAGAACAGCUGGGGUACCAGGAGGAGUGGAGGCAGGCUGUAGGCUCAUUCCAAAGGCCAGUGCAAAUAGGGGGCUUGUGUGGUCUGGAGACCUCCCAGUCCUCAUCUCCGAAAGCCUGGAUUCCCUGUGCAAUCAGAAUAAGGGAAGAGAGCAAAAGCCCCAGGAGGGCAGGGAUUUGUGUGUGGUUCUGUUCACAACAGCAUUUCCCAGCACUGAGAACGGUGCCUGAUGCAUGGUGAGUACUCAGUCAAUACAGGUUGAAUGAAUGAAUGAGCUGAAGGAAGGUGGAGGGGCUGGGAUUGGGCAGGUGAGCAUCCUGGUGAACAGCCCCACAGGGAAGUGGAGAUCCACUGUCUGAAGCCGAUGGGCAGGUUGAAGGGGGAGACAGAAACCCAGAAACGGGGAUCCACAAGGGGCCUCAGUGUGCCAGCAGAAAGAAUGAUCACCUCUAACCUUUGGCCUCACCCUGCCGGGGCAACAGCCCUGUCAUCUCGCUGCCAGAGCCAGGGACAGGCCUUGCAGCCCCAGGAGGUGUGAGCCAUCAGCAGCUGGUGCUGUGGGCGGUCGCUGCGGCGAUGCUCACGGGGAACCUGGAAACCACACCACAGCUUGCAGGCCCGGGGCGUGAGUAAUGAGAGUGCAGUCAUGAUAGCUGGCUUUGGCUGGCUUUUAAUUAUGUAAUAUUUGAUACAUACAAAAAUACCCAGAAUCAAGGGGCACCUACAUAAUAAAAUAAUAAGAUGAACACCAGGGAAACUAUUGGCUAUCCCAGAGUUAACUACAUUGUGAUUUUUGUGUUUGUUAUACCCUUGCUUUGUUUUUUAGCUAGUUUUAUCACUAAACUUGCUUUCUGCCACUUCUUAUAAGGUGAGUACAACAUGUAACCCUAUACACCA